ACCUUCCUCUCCAUGGGUCUUU
rnacentral:miRNA from 1 species